CGGGAAUAUUGGACAAUGGGCGCAAGCCUGAUCCAGCCAUGCCGCGUGUGUGAAGAAGGCCUUAGGGUUGUAAAGCACUUUCAGGAGUGAAGAAAGGCGUUGGGUGAAUAAUCUGACGUUUUGACGUUAGCUCCAGAAGAAGCACCGGCUAACUCCGUGCCAGCAGCCGCGGUAAUACGGAGGGUGCGAACGUUAAUCGGAAUUACUGGGCGUAAAGCGCGCGUAGGCGGCUUGUUAAGUCAGAUGUGAAAGCCCCGGGCUCAACCUGGGAAUUGCAUUUGAAACUGGCAAGCUAGAGUGCAGUAGAGGGAGGUGGAAUUCCAGGUGUAGCGGUGAAAUGCGUAGAUAUC
rnacentral:rRNA from 1 species